rnacentral:rRNA from 1 species
AGUGAACGCUGGCGGUAGGCCUAACACAUGCAAGUCGAACGGCAGCACAGUAAGAGCUUGCUCUUACGGGUGGCGAGUGGCGGACGGGUGAGGAAUACAUCGGAAUCUACUUUUUCGUGGGGGAUAACGUAGGGAAACUUACGCUAAUACCGCAUACGACCUACGGGUGAAAGCAGGGGAUCUUCGGACCUUGCGCGAUUGAAUGAGCCGAUGUCGGAUUAGCUAGUUGGCGGGGUAAAGGCCCACCAAGGCGACGAUCCGUAGCUGGUCUGAGAGGAUGAUCAGCCACACUGGAACUGAGACACGGUCCAGACUCCUACGGGAGGCAGCAGUGGGGAAUAUUGGACAAUGGGCGCAAGCCUGAUCCAGCCAUACCGCGUGGGUGAAGAAGGCCUUCGGGUUGUAAAGCCCUUUUGUUGGGAAAGAAAAGCAGCAGGUUAAUACCCCGCUGUUCUGACGGUACCAAAAGAAUAAGAACCGGCUAACUUCGUG